GAUGAACGCUGGCGGCGUGCUUAACACAUGCAAGUCGAACGAACAGACGCGGAGCUUGCUCGUCUCACGUUAGCGGCGGGCGGGUGAGUCACACGAGGAUACCCUACCUAUAAGACUGGGAUAACUACGGGAAACCGGAUCUAAUACCGGAUAAUAUAUUGAACCGCGUGGUUCAUUAGAGAAAGACGGUUUUGCUGUCACGAAUAGAGGGUUCCGCGCUGCAUGGGCUAGUUGGUACGGUAACGGCUUACCAAGGCGAGGAUGCGUGGCCGACCUGAGGGAGGGAUAGCCCACAUGGGAACGGGAACACGGUCAAGAGUCCUACGGGAGGCAGCAGUAGGGAAUCUGCCGCAAUGGGGGAAAGCCUGACGGAACAGGCCGGCGUGAGUGAUAAAGGCCUCGGGUUCGUAAUAACGUGUUACGGGGGAGAAACAAAUUUGGAAGAUACCACGGACGGAUUGACGGUACCGAAUCAGAAAGCCACGGCUAACUACGUG
rnacentral:rRNA from 1 species